rnacentral:rRNA from 1 species
UGGGGAAUAUUGGGCAAUGGGGGCAACCCUGACCCAGCGACGCCGCGUGGGGGAAGACGGCCUUCGGGUUGUAAACCUCUUUUGUACGGGAAGAAGGAGGUGACGGUACUGUACGAAUAAGUCCCGGCUAACUACGCGCCAGCAGCCGCGGUAAUACGUAGGGGACGAGCGUUGUCCGGAAUUACUGGGCGUAAAGGGCGCGCAGGCUGUGCUGCAAGUCAGCUGUUAAAUGUCUGGGCUCAACCCGGGCAUACGGUUGAGACUGCGGUGCUGGAGUGCUGUAGAGGCAAGUGGAAUUCCCAGUGUAGCGGUGAAAUGCGUAGAUAUUGGGAAGAACACCGGUGGCGAAGGCGACUUGCUGGGCAGCAACUGACGCUGAGGCGCGAAAGCCAGGGGAGCAAACGG